rnacentral:rRNA from 1 species
GAGUGGACGCAUCACUGGUGUUCGGGUUGUCAUGCCAAUGGCAUUGCCCGGUAGCUAAAUGCGGAAGAGAUAAGUGCUGAAAGCAUCUAAGCACGAAACUUGCCCCGAGAUGAGUUCUCCCUGACUCCUUGAGAGUCCUGAAGGAACGUUGAAGACGACGACGUUGAUAGGCCGGGUGUGUAAGCGCAGCGAUGCGUUGAGCUAACCGGUACUAAUGAACCGUGAGGCUUAACCUUACAACGCCGAAG